CCCACACACAGGUGGUGGCUGUCUAGCCUGAGUGUGAGCACUAUAACAGAAGCUCAACAGCUGACACAAUCAGCGCGAGCUCUGUGAGAGGAGUCAUUACACUCUGUGUUGAGACCAGAGCAGGACAUAGUAUUCGAUCCAUCUGGCAUACCAGCGCCAUAGUUUGUUAAACUCAAAGGCAGGCCUUGCUGCUAUAUGAACCAGUAUGGACAGAGCAACCUCUGAUCACUGUGCAUACCCCAUUGAGAUAAACUCAUGCAUGCAAACUUACAGAUUUUGAAUAAGCCCUCUCUGCGUGCUCAAUACUCAUCAGUUAACGUUACCUCUGCCCACCCUCUCUCUUCCUCACCAGACAAGCUUACUGGCUGUUUGUCCCAUGGUUGGUCAGCCACGGCUGUGCAGUGACCCUUCCCGUCAUUCAGGAUUAUUAUCAUCAAGGAUACAGAUACUGCUACAGUCGCACUCUCACGGGAAUUCACCCCACCCUC